GUUGCCUGGUAACGCUACCAGCCUACCCGCUCGCCUGCCAGCCGGCUAGCUCGCCAGCCGUGCUCCCUCUCGCCGAGCGUCCAGUCGCGGCACAACACUCGGGGGGUAUUGAUCGGACAAAGGACCUUCCGGCCGUCUUUCCGUCUGCCUGACCGGCCAGUCCCCAACUGACCGUGGCAGCGAUCACAGCUGAACAGCAAACCGAGACGACGGUGACAGCGUGUACACGAUCGUCGUCGUUCGCAAAUCCUCUGCGCAGCUGCUAGAGAGACGUACUGUCCGGUGGCGAAAAGUAUCACGUACUUCCACUGACACCGGUAGCAGGUGAGGAGCUGCCAGUAUCUCCACAGCCGCGGAAGUAACGACGCCGGCGUGGACGAACAACAGGAGUCGCGCACGCCGUCUCCAGCAGCAGUCAGCAGUGUGACGCGUACUCAUGUAAAGUUUCGUGUGUCGACCGACGCGUGUUGCCACUGCAAGAAGUAAACACUGUUGCCUGCAGAGGUAUAUAUCUUUGUUAUUAACUCGACAAGAGUAGACCAGCAGCAGGCAGAUUUGAAAUUAUUCUCGUGUUUUAGCGAGUGGCUCACUCUUCGUGUGACUGUGUUGUUGUUGUUGUUCUCGUUUGUCGUCCUAGGCACAAGUAACACUGUGUGCCGGCAGUGAUAUCGUGGCGGCGUGGCGCAUCGCCAUGGCGAGCGCGAAGACUGCGCCGUCGCUAGUGCCUGUUAAAAGGCCCAUUCGUCAGCUGUCUGUGCUGGAGAAGCUAGAGGCGAUCGAGCGUGUGCACAAUGGGGAGUCGAAGGCUUCUGUGGCACGCGACAUCGGUGUGCCCGAGUCGACACUGCGAGGCUGGUGCAAAAGCGAAGACAAGCUGCGUAACGUAGCGCAGUCCUGUGGAGGUGGUGGUGGAACGCCGGACUCUCAACAUUCGGGCGGUGCCGCAGAAUUAGCAGAACUUGACGCACUUGUGGAACAAGGAACCUCCGGUGAUCAUCCAGCCAUUAAACGAAUGAGGACGGCGUCCGAUGACGAGAAGGCUUCUGUCGCUGCCGUCGCCGCCGCUUCCGAUAUAGAGGAUUCUUUGUGGUACUGGCUGAAACAGGACCACCAGCAUGUGAGUAAUCAGCUGUUCGCAGUGGCAGCGGCGGACAAGCUGGCAGCAGCAGCGGCCGCUGGGGCGGCAGUAGCGGCCGUCGCCAACGGCGGAAGCGGAGGCGGCGUCGCCGGGGGAGCAGCGUCUGCGGCGGCACCGGCCAACGCCGGAUGGUUCUGGCGUUGGUAUAAGCGAUACGGCUACACGCAAUAUCCCGGUGAUCCGUUGGCGGCUCUUACAGCCGCUCCCGCACCGGACCUCAGGGCUGCGGGGGCGGCGCUAAACGGUGGUGGGGGCGGCACGGCCUCCAGGUCAGCGGCGCUUCUCGACAGCGUGCUUCUCAAUAACAACAAUAACCUCGCUGCAGUCGCUCCUGCAUUCAACAACAACCACGGAAAUACCAAUACGUCAGCGACGACGCACCACGACCAACACAAUAGCGGCGCCAGUAACGGUACGAACGCGAAUGGCAGCGCCGGCAACAACAACGGAUCGUCGGACGAGGACGACGAGCUGGACGAGUCGGACGAACCACCUGCAACGGCGGCGGAGGCCGUGACACACGGAGAGAAGUUUCUCCGGUGGCUGGAAUGCUGCUCUGAUCCUAGCAUCACAGCUAUGCAGAUUCUUCAGUUUCGCUACUUGCUCAACAAUGUGCGGGCGUGCGCCGAUCGACGUGCGAGACAGACAAAAACGAAAAAAGCGCGCUCCAGGAGAAAGUAAGUGGUACGCAGCUCGUUUUUACCGCGGUCAUGUGACGUUAAUUCGAGGGAGCAACAAAUGGAUUAUGCUCCCUUACGUGGGAAGGAACUGUAGUGAAGCUUUACCUGUUUUGUUGUUGAUAUUCGGUGCAACAGUUGUACUGUAUGUAAUCAACGUCGGUCGUGUUUUUCAGGGUGUAGACUUUUCACUCCUCGACAGUUUGAAUGUUUCUUGACAUUGCGUAAUAUUAAUUUAAGGUACGCUAUCGCUUUGGACAUGAUUUUAUUAAUGCUUUCUAGUAGAAGGCUGUUACAUUUGUUUUGUAUCGUUGGGUACAACGUGCACAUAAAAACCGGCAGUUCAGUAGUCAGUUUUUGACUAACGAUAUCGCUGUUUUGUGGCGCUUUCACAGAUAUGUUCCUGUACAAUUUCUGACAGUUCCUGCGCACUGAGGCGCCAGCCACUUGCGCCACAACUCUUCACAUAAACACAAGUGUGACGAAGUUGAAACGUUUUUUACUGUUUUUAUUCUUGUCGUUGAAACGUUUCGUAUAUAGCCUUAAUGAUUUACUAAACUAUCCACAAGUUAAAAUCCUCCAGAAAAUGAGUUACUAAUAGCGAUGCUGUCAUACGAAGGCCCAGGCACCACUAAAGAGGGCGCUGCGUUUUGUGGAGAGACCUGCUGACGAUGGAUGAGAGUAUCGAGGGCUGCUGCCAGAGUGAGACGGGGAGUUUAGUUUCCGGUUGUGUGGCAGCGCAAUGUUGCGGGAAAGGUGGUAGAACUUCCUGUGAAUGCACGUGAUUGCUACGAGCGUGUGUACUCGGGAUGGCGGCAGUCAUUCUGGAUGGGCUGUGCGAUAAGGAAGCUCGGUGUGGCAACUGUUGACACGGCGUGUCCGCGUUGCUAUGGCGGAACUGGGGCAAAUGAGAUAACUCGAGUUGGUGCCGGUUGCAACCUGUUGCUGAAUGCUUGUCUGCCUUCUGGACUACUGUAUGGAUGCUCCAGCAGUUAGAAAGGUCAUUGAUAUGGCAAGUCUCAGGAAACCAUGCCUGCAGAAUGAGCUGGCUAUAAGAGGACAAGAGAUAGAAGGGACUGUUGGCAGAACUUUGCCAGCGCCUACGUGCUGCCUUGACUGCGCCUGUAAUUAUUACUAGUGAGACCGUGAGUGAGGUGUUUCCGUCAUUCUAAGCUGAAAAUGCCUUAUUGUACUGUGUCAUCCUUGUUUGUCGCAUUCUGAUGACGAGUGUUUACGACCUGUCGCCGCUCGCGGCAUGGCUUGCUUUAGUGCGUGCUGCCGCCGCUUAUAAUAAUAAAAAAAAGAGGGCUUGUCUCAUUAGCGAAACAAUGGCAAGAGACUGAUAUUUGCUGUUACUUACACUACUGCUUUCUUUGAUAAUGAUCAACAAGAACCAAAUAAUAGACUUCUUGUGAUAGAAAAUGUUUUGAACGAGAAUGUCGACCUGCCAGCACUUUCAUUUGGUCAAAUCUACAAAAUCCAUUAUAAAAAUACAGUAACUUAUAUCCUAUCAAACAAUGGAAAAUCCAGGAUGGAAUGUAACAAUAUAUAAGUCUAUUGUUGACGAAGGCCAAUGGCUGAAAGUUUUAAUUGUGGAAGUCUUUGUUGCGCCUAUCUGCGACUCAGCAUCUCCGCUACAUGAAUCAGAAGACCUACAUGCAGUCAGCUGUCUGAGGAACCUCCUGAUGCUGCCAGCAGCUGCUCCUACCGGCAGCAGGACCCAGCUGCAUCCAGCCAGUGAUGAACUGAUGGGAGUGAAUGUUGUGCCUCACACCCCAGACCAGCAUAUGGAUGUUGAAACGGCAAAGGAUUGGCCGGCUGCUCCCUCACCAUGGUUUUAAGUGGCUUUCCCAUGAUGUAACGGACAAAUGCCAGGAUAUAGCGUGGCAGCUACACUAGAAGUGUGCACCAAAGAGGAACAAUGGACGGUGAUAUGAUUCCUCUGAUUGGAAGGAGUCAAGGGGCAGACACUCAUUGCAGACUAUCGUCGCAAUGUGGGAGAAGUGCACUAUCACGUAAAACUGCGUUUUUAUGGGGCGAGAAGUUUAACUCGAGAGAUGGUUCUGGCGAAUCACUAUCAAUAAGGUAACAUCCACUUUGAACAUCAGCCAUGGCUCUGCCCAUCACAUAAUCCGUGACGAGGUCAGUUUCCAUAAGGUCUGUGCACGGUGGAUGCCAAGAAAGCUUACCGACAGCCAUAAGCUCACCCGCGUUAGGGUCUGUCAACGUUUACUUGCUUCAACAACGAAGGUGAUGCAUUUUUGAGCAGAAUUGUCACCGGAGAUGAAACAUGGGUGCAUCACUACGAGCCCGAGUCAAAGCGCCAGAGUUUGCAGUGGAAACACCCUGGAUCACCGCUGAGGAAAAAAUUCAAGACAGUGCCAUCUGCAGGAAAGGUUAUGCUAGCUGUGUUUUGGGACUCACAGGGACGCAUACUGGCAGAGUUCAUGGAAAAGGGAACAACUAUCAACAGUGCGGGGUAUAGUGAAUUGUUGGAAAAGAAGCUGAAGCCAGCAAUUCACACCAAAUGCCGAGGUUUGCUGUGGAAGCAUCUCCCUACAGCCCAGACCCUGCUCCAAGUGACUUUCACUUAUCUGGGCCACUCAAGGAUGCUUUGCACGGUCGCCGACUUGCCUCAGAUGUGGACGUGUGAAACGCCUGCAGAAGUGGCUUCACGACCAACCGAAAACCUUUUAUUUGGAAAGAAUACGUAAGCUUGCUGACUGUUGGGCCAAGUGCAUUGACAAGCAGCGAGAUUACAUAGAAAAAUGAUGUGCAUUGU